UUCAUCUCCGGGGGUAGAGCACUGUUUCGGCUAGGGGGCCAUCCCGGCUUACCAACCCGAUGCAAACUGCGAAUACCGGAGAAUGUUAUCACGGGAGACACACGGCGGGUGCUAACGUCCGUCGUGAAGAGGGAAACAACCCAGACCGCCAGCUAAGGUCCCAAAGUCAUGGUUAAGUGGGAAACGAUGUGGGAAGGCCCAGACAGCCAGGAUGUUGGCUUAGAAGCAGCCAUCAUUUAAAGAAAGCGUAAUAGCUCACUGGUCGAGUCGGCCUGCGCGGAAGAUGUAACGGGGCUAAACCAUGCACCGAAGCUGCGGCAGCGACACUGUGUGUUGUUGGGUAGGGGAGCGUUCUGUAAGCCUGUGAAGGUGUGUCGUGAGGC
rnacentral:rRNA from 1 species